CCUACGGGAGGCAGCAGUGGGGAAUAUUGGGCAAUGGGCGCAAGCCUGACCCAGCAACGCCGCGUGAAGGAAGAAGGCUUUCGGGUUGUAAACUUCUUUUCUCAGGGACGAAGAAAGUGACGGUACCUGAGGAAUAAGCCACGGCUAACUACGUGCCAGCAGCCGCGGUAAUACGGAGGUGGCAAGCGUUAUCCGGAGUUAGUGGGUGGAAAGGGCGUGUAGGGGGGAGGGCAAGUCAGAUGUGAAAACGCAGGGCCCAACCCUGAGCCUCUAUUUGAAACUGUGUUUCUUGAGUGCUGGAGAGGCAAUCGGAAUUCCGGGUGUAGGGGUGAAAUUCGUAGAUAUACGGAGGAACACCAGUGGCGAAGGCGGAUUGCUGGACAGUAACUGACGCUGAGGCGCGAAAGCGUUGGGAGCAAACAGGAUUAGAUACCCGUGUAGUC
rnacentral:rRNA from 1 species